rnacentral:rRNA from 1 species
GACGAACGCUGGCGGCGUGCCUAAUACAUGCAAGUCGAGCGGGGUCUUCGGACCUAGCGGCGAACGGGUGAGUAACACGUGGGUAACCUGCCCUCAAGACUGGGAUAACACCGGGAAACCGGUGCUAAUACCAGAUAAUCAAUCUUGCCGCAUGGCAAGAUUGUAAAAGGCUUGCUACUUGAGGAUGGGCCCGCGGCGCAUUAGCUAGUUGGUGGGGUAACGGCCUACCAAGGCGACGAUGCGUAGCCGACCUGAGAGGGUGACCGGCCACACUGGGACUGAGACACGGCCCAGACUCCUACGGGAGGCAGCAGUAGGGAAUUUUCCGCAAUGGGCGAAAGCCUGACGGAGCAACGCCGCGUGAGUGAUGACGGUUUUCGGAUUGUAAAACUCUGUUCUUGGGGAAGAAUUCAAUGACGGUACCCAAGGAGAAAGCCCCGGCUAACUACGUGCCAGCCGCCGCAGUAAAAC